CUCAUCUGAAACACAGUGCAUUCUGGGAGAAAAUGAUUGACAUCGCGGCCAUUUUGGCUCUGGCCGCCCUGCACCCAUUGUGUGUGAGAUAGUAAAUACUGACACUGCCAGACAAGCCGAGCACAUAUUUCACUGCGCGAAUUAAAACACGUUCACCUGAGGUGAUAUCGACUAGCAAUGGCCCGUACUAAGCAGACUGCUCGUAAGUCCACAGGAGGAAAAGCUCCCCGUAAGCAGCUGGCAACCAAAGCUGCCCGCAAGAGCGCUCCCUCAACUGGAGGAGUCAAGAAACCUCAUCGCUACAGGCCCGGUACUGUGGCUUUGCGUGAGAUUCGUCGGUAUCAGAAGUCCACUGAGCUGCUGAUCCGUAAGCUGCCGUUCCAGCGCCUGGUUCGAGAGAUUGCCCAGGACUUCAAAACUGACCUGCGUUUCCAGAGCGCCGCCAUUGGUGCACUGCAGGAGGCCAGUGAGGCAUACCUGGUCGGUCUGUUUGAGGACACUAACCUGUGUGCCAUCCAUGCCAAGCGUGUCACCAUCAUGCCCAAAGACAUCCAGCUGGCACGCCGCAUCCGUGGAGAGCGCGCUUAAACGCUCCCCUUCUUUCUAUCGCCCUCUUUAUUUCUUUCUGUCUCUCCACUUGUUCUCCUCCUGCUUUUCUUGAUAGAGUUUAGAGUAUCAGUGAUGGGGAGUAACUUUGUCUCAGUCUGCUAGUGCUGUCUAAAUUACGCGUAGGGUACCUAUAUGUGCAUGUAACAGGUGCUGCUGAUCACACACACACAAACACACACACACACGCACGUGUAUAAACACACAAACACAUACUCUCACACAUUCACAUUUGGAGCGUAAACGAGGUCCACUUAUGCCCGGUUUAGGGCUAAACAUUCAACAUGCGUGUAAGGAGAAGUCGUCUCACCCUGCGCUCACACUUACUCCACUGUCCAGAGAGAAAAACAGGGUGGUGUCUGGGGUCAGUCUGCUUAAGGGGAGCGGAAACUUCCACAGCAGGGUGCUACUAAAACUGCCUCAGUCCACCUUCCUCAAACCUGUCCUUGCCAAUCCCCUUCAGAACCCCAACUUUGUUUUAAUCCCACUCGGUUUGCCCCGCCCCUUCCUGAUCCAUCCAGUCCUUACAUGUCCUUUUUGAAUCCUUACUUGCCCUUCAUAGUGGAGGUGAGUGUGCAGCCAGACUUCUUCUAUCUGUGAGUGUCUGUGGGUGAUGUGAUCAGCAAAGCAGAGUCGUAUUCAACUGCAAACCAGCAUCUAUUGGUUAAAAAGUUGUUACUUGUAAUAUUGAUGAUUACUAUUAUUGUUAAUAUGGUGUCUUUUUUUUUUUUUUUACAAUGCAUACAUGAAUUGUUCUUUAGGGAAAAAAAAGAUUAAUCCGCCGAGAAUCAGUUUGAAUUUGUUUUCUUUUUUCUUUUUCAUAUUGUAUUGAAAGCCGAUCCUGCUCCUCCUGUUAUAACUUCAGGCAGCCACAGGGGGGCGCUCUAAACCAGCCUCUCAUUCAACCACACUGUUCAACUAACAUCCUGAUCUCCCUUCUCUUCUUUGUUUUUCUCCCUCUUUUUCUGUCGUUUUCCACUCUUUCAAUUCCAGUUUUGUCAAAUUAAAGAUCGGCAUUAGAGUCACAGAGUGUAGCAAAUAAUAAUCUUUACGUUUAGUACUCUAGUUCUGAGUCUUUCACUUUGUUUGGGUAGAACUUUGCUCCUUCCCUCUCUUUGUGAUACACAAUGUAACCUCAUGUUUGUGCUUCUUUUAUUUUUCUUAUUCAGAAAUUUAAAUAAGCUGAUCUUUGUAUUUUCCAAAUUUCUCAUAUUCUGGUGGUAAUAAAUAGAUGUUACACAAA